rnacentral:lncRNA from 1 species
CAUUGGUUCAUGGGGAGGAGUCAACUGGAGAAAGAUCUGUCCAAACCAGUAAUGCCUAUGAUUUCUGAUUAGAUUCACAGCAGCAUCUAACAUGGGCUCUUGCAAAUCCAUCAUCUAAAAUUCCAGCUCUUGAAGCAGCAUGUUAGUAGAACCUGCUAAAACGCAACCCUUAAAAUGAGCAAAGGUGGUAAUGAUUUCCGCUUGUCCUCUACUCAGGGGCCCCAGGAUCGCUGGAAAAAAUUAAAGUUCACCAGAGAAGAGAUCCUUUAUAGCUUCUGCCAGAAAGAUGUCUACAAGUGAUGAGCCACUGAUGGGCACCACUGACCAGGCCAAGGGGAUGUCUGCCAGAUUGCAUUCUCCAAGGGUGACCACCAUAGCAUCCCCCAUCCCAUGUGCUCUCCUUCAAUGUGACCUUGCUGUCCAUCCAUGAACAUGGCCAAGUUGUGACAGCUUCAACCGAGGAAGGCAGACAAGAUGGUAUGUGGCUUCCAAGGUAGAGAAAUAAAUGGAAAGAGAGUCGCCCUCUUGUUGUGUGGCUGGGUGGGGAGAGGGUGGAGAGUCACAUCAGGAAAGCUUCCAAGAGAGGUAACUAUUUGUCUUCAUCGUGGCUAGCAUUCCUUCUCCAUUCUUAGAUGAUGCAUAUUUAAGAAAUAGCCUUAAUUCAAUGAAGGGAACAAGAAUAUUAUCACUAUCAUGUUAACUGUGACAUUUAUUACAAGAUGCAUGAAAGUAACAUUAAAAUAUAGAACAAAUGCAAAGAAAUGUGGUAAGUCAUCCAUUCAGCAUGUUUGGACAUAUUUUAAUACAAUACUUUAUAAGCCCCUCCA